CCAAUAGCGUAUAUUAAAGUUGUUGCAGUUAAAAAGCUCGUAGUUGAAUUUCGGGAUCAUCAGGUUGGUCGUGCCUCUGGUAUGUACUGAUUUCGAUGGUUCCUCCUUCUUGAAGAACCGUAAUGCCAUUAAUUUGGUGUUGCGGGGAAUCAGGACUGUUACUUUGAAAAAAUUAGAGUGUUUAAAGCAGGCAGUCGCUUGAAUACAUUAGCAUGGAAUAAUGAAAUAGGACGUUCGAUCCUAUUUUGUUGGUUUCUAGGAUUGACGUAAUGAUUAAUAGGGAUAGUUAUGGGCAUUAGUACUCAAUUGUCAGAGGUGAAAUUCUUGGAUUUAUUGAAGACUAACUACUGCGAAAGCAUUUGCCAAGGAUGUUUUCAUUAAUCAAGAACGAAAGUUAGGGGAUCGAAGACGAUCAGAUACCGUCGUAGUCUUAACCAUAAACUAUGCCGACUAGGGAUCGGAUGAUGUUAAUUUUUUAAUGACUCAUUCGGCGCCUUACG
rnacentral:rRNA from 1 species